AUGCGGAGGAUCCGAGCGUUAUCCGGAUUUAUUGGGUUUAAAGGGUGCGCAGGCGGCCAUUUAAGUCAGCGGUUAAAUCGUGGGGCUCAACCCCAUUCUGCCGUUGAUACUGGGUGGCUUGAUUGCGGUCGAGGUUGGCGGAAUUCGUUGUGUAGCGGUGAAAUGCAUAGAUAUGACGAAGAACACCGAUUGCGUAGGCAGCUGACCAGACCGCAAAUGACGCUCAUGCACGAAAGUGCGGGGAUCGAACAGGAUUAGAUACCCUGGUAGUCCGCACAGUAAACGAUGAAUACUUGUUUUCGGCGAUAUAAUGUCGGAGGCAAAGCGAAAGCGAUAAGUAUUCCACCUGGGGAGUACGCCGGCAACGGUGAAACUCAAAGGAAUUGACGGGG
rnacentral:rRNA from 1 species